rnacentral:rRNA from 1 species
UGGGGAAUUUUCCGCAAUGGGCGCAAGCCUGACGGAGCAAUACCGCGUGAGGGAGGAAGGCCUUUGGGUCGUAAACCUCUUUUAUUGGGGAAGAAGCACUGACGGUACCCAAUGAAUCAGCAUCGGCUAACUCCGUGCCAGCAGCCGCGGUAAUACGGAGGAUGCAAGCGUUAUCCGGAAUUAUUGGGCGUAAAGCGUCCGCAGGUGGUUAAUCAAGUCUGCUGUUAAAGCGUGCGGCUUAACCGCAUAUCGGCAGUGGAAACUGGUUGACUAGAGUUCGGUAGGGGUCACGGGAAUUCCCAGUGUAGCGGUGAAAUGCGUAGAUAUUGGGAAGAACACCAGCGGCGAAAGCGCGUGACUGGGCCUGAACUGACACUGAGGACGAAAGCUAGGGGAGCAAAGGGAUUAGAUACCCUGUA